UGGGGAAUCUUGGACAAUGGGCGCAAGCCUGAUCCAGCCAUGCCGCGUGGAUGAUGAAGGCCUUAGGGUUGUAAAAUCCUUUCGUGGGGGACGAUAAUGACGGUACCCCAAGAAGAAGCUCCGGCUAACUUCGUGCCAGCAGCCGCGGUAAUACGAAGGGGGCUAGCGUUGUUCGGAUUUACUGGGCGUAAAGCGCGUGUAGGCGGGUCGUUAAGUUGGGGGUGAAAUCCCGAGGCUCAACCUCGGAACUGCCUUCAAAACUGGCGACCUGGACCCAAGUAGAGGCAAGUGGAAUUGCGAGUGUAGAGGUGAAAUUCGUAGAUAUUCGGAAGAACACCAGUGGCGAAGGCGGCUCACUGGACGUGUAUUGACGCUGAGGUACGAAAGCGUGGGGAGCAAACAGGAUUAGAUACCCCAGUAGUCCCUGAGCGGGCUGGCAAGGCGCAU
rnacentral:rRNA from 1 species